rnacentral:rRNA from 1 species
AUUGAACGCUGGCGGCAGGCCUAACACAUGCAAGUCGAACGGUAACAGGAAGCAGCUUGCUGCUUUGCUGACGAGUGGCGGACGGGUGAGUAAUGUCUGGGAAACUGCCUGAUGGAGGGGGAUAACUACUGGAAACGGUAGCUAAUACCGCAUAACGUCGCAAGACCAAAGAGGGGGACCUUCGGGCCUCUUGCCAUCGGAUGUGCCCAGAUGGGAUUAGCUAGUAGGUGGGGUAACGGCUCACCUAGGCGACGAUCCCUAGCUGGUCUGAGAGGAUGACCAGCCACACUGGAACUGAGACACGGUCCAGACUCCUACGGGAGGCAGCAGUGGGGAAUAUUGCACAAUGGGCGCAAGCCUGAUGCAGCCAUGCCGCGUGUAUGAAGAAGGCCUUCGGGUUGCAAAGUACUUUCAGCGGGGAGGAAGGGAGUAAAGUUAAUACCUUUGCUCAUUGACGUUACCCGCAGAAGAAGCACCGGCUAACUCCGUG